rnacentral:rRNA from 1 species
GAUGAACGCUGGCGGCGUGCCUAAUACAUGCAAGUCGAGCGAACAGACGAGGAGCUUGCUCCUCUGACGUUAGCGGCGGACGGGUGAGUAACACGUGGAUAACCUACCUAUAAGACUGGGAUAACUUCGGGAAACCGGAGCUAAUACCGGAUAAUAUAUUGAACCGCAUGGUUCAAUAGUGAAAGACGGUUUUGCUGUCACUUAUAGAUGGAUCCGCGCCGCAUUAGCUAGUUGGUAAGGUAACGGCUUACCAAGGCAACGAUGCGUAGCCGACCUGAGAGGGUGAUCGGCCACACUGGAACUGAGACACGGUCCAGACUCCUACGGGAGGCAGCAGUAGGGAAUCUUCCGCAAUGGGCGAAAGCCGGACGGAGCAACGCCGCGUGAGUGAUGAAGGUCUUCGGAUCGUAAAGCGCUGUUAUUAGGGAAGAACAAAUGUGUAAGUAACUAUGCACGUCUUGACGGUACCUAAUCAGAAAGCCACGGCUAACUACGUG